rnacentral:rRNA from 1 species
AGCAGCCGCGGUAAUUCCAGCUCCAAUAGCGUAUAUUAAAGUUGUUGCAGUUAAAAAGCUCGUAGUUGAAUUUCGGGAUCAAUUUGUCGGUCGUGCCUCGGUACGUACUGGUAUUAUUGGUUUCUACCUUCUGAAGAACCUUGAUGUCAUUAAUUUGGUGUCUUGGGGAAUCAGGACUGUUACUUUGAAAAAUUAGAGUGUUUAAAGCAAGCAUACGCUUGAAUACAUUAGCAUGGAAUAAUGAAAUAGGACGUUUGAUUCUAUUUUGUUGGUUUCUAGGAUCGACGUAAUGAUUAAUAGGGAUAGUUGGGGGCAUUAGU